CAGUCGCCGCGGGAAUACAGAGGGUGCGAGCGUUAAUCGGAUUUACUGGGCGUAAAGCGUGCGUAGGCGGCUUUUUAAGUCGGAUGUGAAAUCCCUGAGCUUAACUUAGGAAUUGCAUUCGAUACUGGGAAGCUAGAGUAUGGGAGAGGAUGGUAGAAUUCCAGGUGUAGCGGUGAAAUGCGUAGAGAUCUGGAGGAAUACCGAUGGCGAAGGCAGCCAUCUGGCCUAAUACUGACGCUGAGGUACGAAAGCAUGGGGAGCAAACAGGAUUAGAUACCCGUGUAGUUCCUGUCUCUUAUAC
rnacentral:rRNA from 1 species